ACAGUUGAACUCUGAGGUGUCCUAUGAUCAUUUUGGUCAAGGGGAUAAAUUAUAUGAAAACUAUAUCUGCAUGGGUUCUAAGGAUGUUGUUCUACACAUUCGACCUAUCCGAUCGUCGGGUAUCAUUGCUAGAUGGUCACUUCGAUUGGUAUAAAAAUUUAUUUCUAUGCUAUCGGUUUAGGUUCGGAUCUAUGAGGUCACACACAUUAGAGUUCAUGAUCCGAUCGGAUGGUUGAUCAAUGAUUAAGAAUCGUUCUAGGGUUAAAUGAUCAAUACGAUUGACAUUUAACCCAGUGCAAGUGUUGCAGGA
rnacentral:lncRNA from 1 species